UAUCCCGUAGCUAAGUAGUGAGAGCGCCACCUUGACAAGGGGGCGGGCGCUGGUUCGAGACCAGCCGGAAUCA
rnacentral:tRNA from 2 species